rnacentral:misc_RNA from 1 species
CUUUGAUGAUAUAUUUCAUUCUCUGAAUGCAUCUGAGAAAAAUGAAAUCAGUAUCAUCAUAUCCAAAAUGCAAACGGAAAGGAAGAGAGGUAAGGAAUCAAUUGAAGCAAAGAAGCAAGAUAGUCCUGCAUUUACAGAGGAGAACUUGGCAGAGUUCAUGGAGAGGCUUAAAGCUUACACUAUUCCCCUUUGGAAGCCAUACAAUCAAGGUUCAUCUUCGCUACGUUCAAGAAAGCCAUACAAUCAAGGUUCGACGAUUAUUUGGUGUUUUGUUCAAGCCCACUGCAUCUGUAGUAGUACUAAAUGGGCCCUCUGUAGUGCUGGACCAUCAACUUCCAAUCUUCUUUUUACAACAUAACGAAUUCAUCACUGUAGGGGAUAUGCUGGUCCCUCGCACUCUCAUCCCAAUCUAUGAAGAAUUGCUUUCCAAAUAUAAGAAUAUUGGUGCUACUAGCAGGCUAAGUCCCAAAGUGAAGUCAUUAAUCUUUUACAUUUUAUGUGGUGUUAUACAGAACAUGAGAACAAUUAAGGUUGUGGAUGUCACAGAAGACAAACUUGGGGAAUGGUUGGGUUGGCUGAAAUGGGUGGAGUGUGCUGGCUUCCAAAUUCGGUUCAUCUUCGAACAUAUGGAGCGCAUUGCUUGUGCCUACUUUGUCCUUCGAACUAGAAAGUUGUUAGAGGACUCUGAAGUUGAACAAGAGCAAGAUAUUGAAAGGAUUUCUGAAAUGAUGGAGAAACUGAAAACAAAAUUGGAAAGAACCAGAGCCAAGUCAGAAGCAACCAAGGAACAGCUAAGUUAUCAUAUAACACACGAGAAAGAAUUCCUCAAGGGUACCGCUGUGUCGAUUAAGUGGAAGCCUGUAACUGAUGGUUUGCUAUGAUGGAUAUAAGGUAAGAGGCUCAAAGGUUCAUGUAUUUCCAUUUCCUUAUCUGAGCAAGAAUUUCCCAUAUCAAACGAGGUGCUAAUGUACAGGGAGCAAGUAAAAGGAAUAUGAUCAGCAGUCAGCGAUUACCAUUGAUGUUUAAAUUAUUUUCUCAUCCUUCAGUUUAAUUCCAUAAUUUAGAAUAAUAUCUUUUAUCUGCAAUUAUAAUUCUAUCCUUUCAUCCCAUUUGUGUGAUUGAAAAUUAAUGUUUAU